UAAAGCAAGAAAGGGCGUAUGGGGAAUGCCUAGGCACACUCCGGCGAAGAAGGACGCAGCAAACAGCGAAAUGCGACGGUGAGCGGUAAGCACGUGAAGAGCCGUCGAUAUCCGAAUGGGGGAACCCACACGGAGUCAUAUCCGUGUAUCACAUGUCGAAUACAUAGACAUGAUGAGGCGAGACGCAGGGAACUGAAACAUCUAAGUACCUGCAGGAAGAGAAAAUAAGAAUGAUUUUCUGAGUAGCGGCGAGCGAAAGGGAAAGAGCCCAAACCGAUCUUAGGAUCGGGGUAGUAGGAUCAUCGAGAAAUCUGACAGAGGAUCAUAGAGGAAUCACAUGGGAAGGUGAGCGAGAGAGGGUGAGAGCCCCGUACUCGAAAUGAGAGACUGGAGAGAGAUGACACCUGAGUAGGGCGGGACACGAGAAAUCCUGUCUGAAUCAGCCGGGACCAUCCGGCAAGGCUAAAUACGAGAGAGUGACCGAUAGUGAACCAGUACCGUGAGGGAAAGGUGAAAAGAACCCCGGGAGGGGAGUGAAAGAGAACCUGAAACCGUAUGUCUACAAGCAGUCGGAGCGAAAGCGACGGCGUGCCUAUUGAAGAAUGAACCAACGAGUUACGUGCACUAGCGAGGUUAAGUGGAAGACACGGAGCCGAAGCGAAAGCGAGUCUUAAGAGGGCGGAUAGUUAGUGUACGUAGACCCGAAACCGCAGUGAUCUACCCAUGUCCAGGUUGAAGCGCAGGUAAAAUUGCGUGGAGGACCGAACCUGUGAGCGUUGAAAAGCUUUAGGAUGAGAUGUGGGUAGAGGUGAAAUUCCAAUCGAACGCGGAGAUAGCUGGUUCUCCCCGAAAUAGCUUUAGGGCUAGCCUCAAGUAGUAAGUAUAGGCGGUAGAGCACUGAUCGGGCUAGGGGCCAUAAAGGUUACCGAACCCUGUCAAACUCCGAAUGGUUAUACUGUAGAGCUUGGGAGUCAGACUACGAGUGAUAAGAUCCGUGGUCAAAAGGGAAACAGCCCAGACCACCAGCUAAGGUCCCCAAUGUCGUACUAAGUGGAAAAGGAUGUGGGGUCUCUAAAACAACCAGGAUGUUGGCUUAGAAGCAGCCACCAUUUAAAGAGUGCGUAAUAGCUCACUGGUCGAGAGACCCUGCGCCGAAGAUUACCGGGGCUAAAGUACGAAACCGAAGCUGUGGCUACGACGUAAGUCGUGGGGUAGGGGAGCGUUCUGUGAGGGCUGAAGUCGUUCUGUAAGGAACGGUGGACUUCACAGAAGUGAGAAUGUUGGUAUGAGUAGCGAAAAGAAUGGUGAGAAUCCAUUCCACCGAAAGCAUAAGGAUUCCUGGGCAACGAUCGUCGUCCCAGGGUAAGUCGGGACCUAAUCCGAGGCAUGGAGCGUAGGAGAUGGACAACUGGCAGAUAUUCCAGUACCGGUAAUGAUUGUUUGAGCGAUGGAGUGACACAGGAGGGCAGGCAGGCAGGAGAUUGGUUGUUCCUGUACAAGCGUGUAGGAUGGGACGUAGGCAAAUCCGCGUCCUGUGAGUCUGAGGCGUGAUGUGGAGGUUCCGGAAACGGAACUGAAGCUGCUGACCCCACACUGUCGAGAAAAGCUUCUAGUUAGAGAAUUACCGCCCGUACCGUAAACCGACACAGGUAUGCGGGGAGAGAAUCCUAAGGUGCGCGGGAGAACCCUCGUUAAGGAACUCGGCAAAAUGUACCCGUAACUUCGGGAUAAGGGUAGCCGCUGUUGUGAAGUCUGCACAGACGGAGCAUGAGGCGGUCGCAGAGAAGAGGCCCAAGCGACUGUUUACCACAAACACAGGUGCCUGCUAAAGAGAAAUCUGACGUAUAGGUGCUGACACCUGCCCAGUGCCGGAAGGUUAAGGAAGGAUGUCCGGAGCAAUCCAAAGCAUUCGACCGAAGCCCCGGUGAACGGCGGCCGUAACUAUAACGGUCCUAAGGUAGCGAAAUUCCUUGUCGGGUAAG
rnacentral:rRNA from 1 species